GCUGGGCGCAGUGGCGCUCACCUGUAAUCCCAGCAACUUCGAGGCUGAGACAGGAGGAUCACAAGUUCCAAAUCAGCCUCAGGCACUUAGACCCUGUUUCAA
rnacentral:sRNA from 1 species